UACGUAGGGGGCAAGCGUUGUCCGGAUUUACUGGGCGUAAAGAGCGUGUAGGCGGCCAAGCAGGUCCGUUGUGAAAACUGGAGGCUUAACCUCCAGACGUCGACGGAAACCGCGUGGCUAGAGUCCGGAAGAGGAGAGUGGAAUUCCUGGUGUAGCGGUGAAAUGCGUAGAUAUCAGGAGGAACACCGGUGGUGUAGACGGCUUUCUGGACCGUAACUGACGCUGAGACACGAAAGCGUGGGUAGCAAACAGG
rnacentral:rRNA from 1 species